rnacentral:rRNA from 1 species
CUACGGGCUGCUGCAGUGGGGAAUAUUGCACAAUGGGCGCAAGCCUGAUGCAGCCAUGCCGCGUGUAUGAAGAAGGCCUUCGGGUUGUAAAGUACUUUCAGCGGGGAGGAAGGGAGUAAAGUUAAUACCUUUGCUCAUUGACGUUACCCGCAGAAGAAGCACCGGCUAACUCCGUGCCAGCAGCCGCGGUAAUACGGCGGGUGCAAGCGUUAAUCGGAAUUACUGGGCGUAAAGCGCACGCAGGCGGUUUGUUAAGUCAGAUGUGAAAUCCCCGGGCUCAACCUGGGAACUGCAUCUGAUACAGGCAAGCUUGAGUCUCGUAGAGGGGGGUAGAAUUCCAGGUGUAGCGGUGAAAUGCGUAGAGAUCUGGAGGAAUACCGGUGGCGAAGGCGGCCCCCUGGACGAAGACUGACGCUCAGGUGCGAAAGCGUGGGGAGCAAACAGGAUUAGAUACCCCUGUAGUC